rnacentral:rRNA from 1 species
AUUGAACGCUGGCGGCAUGCUUUACACAUGCAAGUCGAACGGUAACACGCUGCAAGGUGCUGCCGAGUGGCGAACGGGUGAGUAAUGCAUCGGAACGCGCCCAGUCCUGGGGGAUAACUGCUCGUAACAGUGGCUAAUACCGCAUACUAUCUAUGGCGGAAAGCGGGGGACCGCAAGGGCUCGCGCGAUUGUGGGCGACGGAGUGAGCCGAUGUAGGGUUUGGUGGUUGGGGGGGUAAAGGCUCACCAAGGCGACGAUCUGUAGCUGGUCUGAGAGGACGACCAGCCACACUGGAACUGAGACACGGCCCAGACUCCUACGGGAGGCAGCAGUGGGGAAUUUUGGACAAUGGGCGCAAGCCUGAUCCAGCAAUGCCGCGUGGAGGAAGAAGGCCUUCGGGUUGUAAAAUGCUUUUGUUCGGAAAGAAACGGCUCAGGUUAAUACCCGGCGCUUAUGACGGUACCGAAAGAAUAAGCACCGGCUAACUACGUG